AUCCAGCUGACGAAUACCAAAUAGGACGAAACGCGCGUCAAACUGGAU
rfam:Schistosoma haematobium scaffold163_37, whole genome shotgun sequence.